UGGUUCUGGCAUCGAUGAAGAACGCAGCGAAAUGCGAUAAGUAAUGUGAAUUGCAGAAUUCAGUGAAUCAUCGAAUCUUUGAACGCAUAUUGCGCCCUCUGGUAUUCCGGGGGGCAUGCCUGUUCGAGCGUCAUUACAACCCUCAAGCUCUGCUUGGUAUUGGGUGUCACUGCUAGAGUACACCUUAAAAUCAGUGGCGGUACCACCUGGGCUUCUAGUAUAGUAAUGAUUCUUACUAUGGAGCCUUGGGUAGUUGCUAGCCAGCAACCACACUUUCAAUGGUUGACCUCGGAUCAGGUAGGGAUACCCGCUGA
rnacentral:misc_RNA from 1 species